rnacentral:rRNA from 1 species
UGAACGCUGGCGGCAUGCUUUACACAUGCAAGUCGAACGGCAGCGCGGGGCAACCUGGCGGCGAGUGGCGAACGGGUGAGUAAUAUAUCGGAACGUACCCAGAAGUGGGGGAUAACGUAGCGAAGGUUACGCUAAUACCGCAUACGAUCUACGGAUGAAAGUGGGGGACCUUCGGGCCUCAUGCUUGUGGAGCGGCCGAUAUCUGAUUAGCUAGUUGGUAGGGUAAAGGCCUACCAAGGCGACGAUCAGUAGCUGGUCUGAGAGGACGACCAGCCACACUGGGACUGAGACACGGCCCAGACUCCUACGGGAGGCAGCAGUGGGGAAUUUUGGACAAUGGGCGCAAGCCUGAUCCAGCAAUGCCGCGUGAGUGAAGAAGGCCUUCGGGUUGUAAAGCUCUUUUUGUCAGGGAAAGAAACGGCCAGAGCUAAUAUUCUUUGGGCCUAAUGGACCGGUACCUGGAAGAAUAAGCCACCGGGCUUAAACUAACGUUGCCAGCAGGCCGCCGGGUAAAUACGUUAGGGGUGCCAAGGCGUUUAAAUCCGNAAAUUUACCUGGGGGCGUUAAAGCGUGGGCGCAGGGCGGUUUUGUAAGUCUCU